rnacentral:lncRNA from 1 species
GGUGACACCCAGCACGGUGACAGUGUCCACACGGCGGUGCCCGUCCCCCUGCUCUCGUGGCUGUCCCGGCGGUGCCACCACCCAGCACGGGGUUGUUGCUGCCCGGUGACGGUGCCCGUCCUUGUCACCACCCGUCCCGGUGGUGCCGGUGCCCAACCCCAGCAUCACCCCGCGGUGGUGCCCGUCCGGUGCCGAUACUGGGCCCGGUGGUACCCGGCCAGGUUGUGACCCGGAUCGCUGUCACCCGGCACAACCGUGCCCAGCGUGGUGGCGGUGCCCGGUACAACGGCAGACGGCGGUGCGGUGAUGUCCGGGUGACACCAGCGGUGCCGUCCGGGUGACGCUGGCGGUGCGGGGGCCCCCUUAGGCCUCCGAGGCCGCCUGGGGCUUGAGCUGCGCCUUCUCCAUGGCGGUGCCGUAGGGCAUCGAGCGCUUGAAGAAGCCCAGCUG